rnacentral:rRNA from 1 species
UAAUACGGGGGGAGCAAGCGUUGUUCGGAUUUACUGGGCGUAAAGGGCGCGUAGGCGGCCACCGCAAGUCAGUUGUGAAAUCUCUGGGCUUAACCCAGAAAGGUCAACUGAUACUGCGGGGCUAGAGUGCAGAAGGGGCAACUGGAAUUCUCGGUGUAGCGGUGAAAUGCGUAGAUAUCGAGAGGAACACCUGCGGCGAAGGCGGGUUGCUGGGCUGACACUGACGCUGAGGCGCGAAAGCUAGGGGAGCGAACGGGAUUAGAUACCCCGGUAGUCCUAGCCGUAAACGAUGGACACUAGGUGUUGGUGGUAUCAACCCCGCCAGUGCCGAAGCUAACGCAUUAAGUGUCCCGCCUGGGGAGUACGGCCGCAAGGCUA